UACAGAGGGUGCGAGCGUUAAUCGGAAUUACUGGGCGUAAAGCGUGCGUAGACGGUAGCGUAAGUCAGAUGUGAAAGCCCCGGGCUCAACCUGGGAACUGCAUUUGAGACUGCUCUGCUCGGGUGCGGAAGAGGGAAGCGGAAUUUCCGGUGUAGCGGUGAAAUGCGUAGAUAUCGGAAGGAACACCAGUGGCGAAAGCGGCUUCCUGGUCCGACACCGACGUUCAGGCACGAAAGCGUGGGGAGCGAACAGG
rnacentral:rRNA from 1 species